rnacentral:rRNA from 1 species
CCCUUAGAUGUUCUGGGCCGCACGCGCGCUACAAUGAUGAAUUCAACGAGUUUAUAACCUUGGUUGAAAAGCCUGGGUAAUCUUUUGAACUUUCGUCGUGAUGGGGCUAGUCCCUUGCAAUUAUUGGUCUCCAACGAGGAAUUCCUAGUAAACGCAAGUCAUCAGCUUGCAUUGAUUACGUCCCUGCCCUUUGUACACACCGCCCGUCGCACCUACCGAUUGAAUGGUCCGGUGAAAUCUUCGGAUUGAGACUUUGAUUUCUUCACGGAAAACGCUGUUUUAAAAAGUUGAUUAAACCUUACCAUUUAGAGGAAGGUGAAGUCGUAACA